UCUAGAACCCGAGAUAUGGACUGAACACUGAACAGUGUCUGGGCUGUAGGACAUAUUCAGACUUCUCUUUUGAUGCUAAGAUUUGGACUCCAAACCGGCAAAAUUGAGUCUUGGACUCCCAUGAAUGUUUUAGGCCUAUGUCUUAGCUUUCUAGC
rfam:Populus trichocarpa scaffold_10_contig_130, whole genome shotgun sequence.